GCGCGGCGUUCGACGCGGCGGUCGAGCGCGCGCCGACCGCGCGCGCGGCGGUGCUCGACGCCGCGUGCGCGGGUGACGCCGCGCUGCGCGC
rnacentral:tRNA from 1 species